CUAAUGACAUCAUCCAAGUCUCUCGUGCGCGGUUGCCAGGGGUUACAGCCUGACAUUUCAGUCGCUAUAAACAAACCUGCAGGAAGCCAAACUGUGAAGAACACCGUGUUUCUGUGGUUUUAUUUAAUUCAGGAAUCAACUCGUCGCUUUACAGCGAUCAUAAUUAGUGUAAAAGGUCGGAAAGACUUUUCACCUUUAUCAUGGCGGAUUCAGAUGUAGGUACCCGCGCAAAAAGCGGACAGCUCUGCAGACCCGUAUGAGAGAGCAGUGAAGUAUCUGGAGAGCCAUAACAUUCUGCAGAUAUUUCAGGAAAUCACAGAGAGCCUGGUUUACGACAGACCUGAUGACCCCCUGCAGUUUAUGUUAGAGCAGUUGCAGAAGAAGAUCCGAGCGCGUGACGAGGCGAACGAAGCUGCAAAAGCUGAAUAGUUUUCUCCGAAAUGGGUUGUGCAGCGUACAAUGAAGAGUGUGUUAGCCACGUAUUUGCAUACUGGAAUUAUAUUCACUGGGAUGCAGACAUAAUUGCAGCUCCUUUUGUAAAAAAAAAAAAAAAAAAACCCGCAAAAAAACAAAACCCACACACACACCACACACACAAAAAAAAAAAACCCAAACCUGAUGUAUUCCCUAUUUUGCUUUGACAAUCCUGUUUAGUUCUUUUAUGAGAUAUUAUUUGUAUUCGGACCAGACCGACCCGUCCGCAGCGUCUUUGGAAACUCGGCGAGCAGGCCGGAGA
ensembl:lncRNA